rnacentral:rRNA from 1 species
AUUGAACGCUGGCGGCAGGCCUAACACAUGCAAGUCGAGCGGAUGACGGGAGCUUGCUCCUUGAUUCAGCGGCGGACGGGUGAGUAAUGCCUAGGAAUCUGCCUGGUAGUGGGGGACAACGUUUCGAAAGGAACGCUAAUACCGCAUACGUCCUACGGGAGAAAGCAGGGGACCUUAGGGCCUUGCGCUAUCAGAUGAGCCUAGGUCGGAUUAGCUUGUUGGUGAGGUAAUGGCUCACCAAGGCGACGAUCCGUAACUGGUCUGAGAGGAUGAUCAGUCACACUGGAACUGAGACACGGUCCUGACUCCUACGGGAGGCAGCGGUGGGGAAUAUUGGACAAUGGGCGAAAGCCUGAUCCAGCCAUGCCGCGUGUGUGAAGAAGGUCUUCGGAUUGUAAAGCACUUUAAGUUGGGAGGAAGGGUUGUAGAUUAAUACUCUGCAAUUUUGACGUUACCGACAGAAUAAGCACCGGCUAACUCUGUGCCAGCCGCCGCGGUAA